GCGCGCUUAGCUCAGCGGAAGAGCAUUACCUUCACACGGUAGGGGUCGCAGGUUCAAACCCUGCAGCGCGCACCA
rnacentral:tRNA from 1 species